GAUUCUUCCAAGCGAAGAGCGGUUGAGUGGUCUCCAUUGUUCAGGAUUAAGCGAGCCAUGAGGGGUGACAGAGGACGUGGUCGUGGUGGGCGCUUUGGUUCCAGAGGAGGUCCUGGAGGAGGGUUCAGGCCUUUUGUGCCCCACAUCCCCUUUGAUUUCUAUUUGUGUGAAAUGGCUUUUCCCCGGGUCAAACCAGCACCUGAUGAGACCUCCUUCAGUGAAGCCUUGUUGAAGAGGAAUCAAGACCUUGCCCCCAAUUCUGCUGAGCAGGCUUCUAUCCUUUCUUUGGUGACAAAAAUAAACAAUGUGAUUGACAACUUGAUUGUGGCUCCAGGGACAUUUGAAGUGGUGAGUUUUUGAUUUAAUCCCAAGAACGGGCACCCUUGGUGGUACGGAAAUUUCCUUGGCUCUUGCCUGUUAAUAUUUCAGUUGUCUGUUAUUCAAAUCAAAGCCUAAAAUGGAAAAGUACAGAGAAUUCUGGAAAAUUCCUAAUCUUGAGGACAAGAUUGUAUCACUGGUCAGCUAACCAUGCCCAGGUUUCUGGUUAUCUAGGGGUGAGAUUUCAGCAUGGCUGCUUCCAAAUCUGGGUAUUAAGAAGCAGCUGAAAUGGUUCUAUGAGGACUCAGCACCUUUAUUUUUCUAAACGUCUCUGAAAUCCCUUUCAAUAGCAAAUUGAAGAAGUCCGACAGGUAGGAUCAUAUAAAAAGGGGACAAUGACUACAGGACACAAUGUGGCUGACCUGGUGGUAAUACUAAAGAUUCUGCCAA
rnacentral:lncRNA from 1 species